GACGAACGCUGGCGGCGUGCUUAACACAUGCAAGUCGAACGGUAAGGCCCCACUUUCCUGGGGUACACGAGUGGAACACGUGAGUGAAACACGAGUAACCCCUGCUCCACACUUGGGUAUACGCCGGGGAAACUGUGUAUUAUCGGAGAUAAGCCCGCACCGCGUGGUGGGGGUUGGAAAUAUUUCUCGGUUUUGGAUGGACUCGCGGCCUAUCAGCUUGUUGGUGAGGUAAUGGCUCACCAAGGCGACGACGGGUAGCCGGCCUGAGAGGGUGACCGGCCACAUUGGGACUGAGACACGGCCCAGACUCCUACGGGAGGCAGCAGUGGGGAAUAUUGCACAAUGGGCGGAAGCCUGAUGCAGCGACGCCGCGUGAGGGAUGACGGCCUUCGGGUUGUAAACCUCUUUCAGUAGGGAAGAAGCGAAAGUGACGGUACAUGGAGAAGAAGCACCGGCUAACUACGUG
rnacentral:rRNA from 1 species